GUAGGGUGCGAGCGUUGUCCGGAAUUAUUGGGCGUAAAGGGCUCGUAGGCGGUUUGUCGCGUCGGGAGUGAAAACAUCCAGCUUAACUGGGUGCUUGCUUUCGAUACGGGCAGACUUGAGGUAUGCAGGGGAGAAUGGAAUUCCUGGUGUAGCGGUGAAAUGCGCAGAUAUCAGGAGGAACACCGGUGGCGAAGGCGGUUCUCUGGGCAUUACCUGACGCUGAGGAGCGAAAGUGUGGGGAGCGAACAGGAUUAGAUACCCUGGUAGUCCACACCGUAAACGUUGGGCGCUAGGUGUGGGACCUAUUCCAUGGGUUCCGUGCCGUAGCUAACGCAUUAAGCGCCCCGCCUGGGGAGUACGGCCGCAAGGCUAAA
rnacentral:rRNA from 1 species